rnacentral:rRNA from 1 species
UGGCUCAGAUUGAACGCUGGCGGCAGGCUUAACACAUGCAAGUCGAGCGGAAACGAGAAUAGCUUGCUAUUCGGCGUCGAGCGGCGGACGGGUGAGUAAUGCUUGGGAAUAUGCCUUUGAGUGGGGGACAACAGUUGGAAACGACUGCUAAUACCGCAUAACGUCUACGGACCAAAGGGGGGGACGCUUCGGCACCUCUCGCUCAUUGAUUAGCCCAAGUGAGAUUAGCUAGUUGGUAAGGUAAUGGCUUACCAAGGCGACGAUCUCUAGCUGGUUUGAGAGGAUGAUCAGCCACACUGGGACUGAGACACGGCCCAGACUCCUACGGGAGGCAGCAGUGGGGAAUAUUGCACAAUGGGCGAAAGCCUGAUGCAGCCAUGCCGCGUGUGUGAAGAAGGCCUUCGGGUUGUAAAGCACUUUCAGCGAGGAGGAAAGG